AGAGCAGCAGCCCCUGACUGGGGUUUCUCUCAAAUCCCCACGGCAAAACCCAGGUUCUCUGUGAUGCGUCUAAGACUAAGCAGCACGAGGGCAGUUAGCCCAUGCUUGCCCUGUUGCUGGGUGGGACAGAAGCCGUCAUCCGAGGCUACUUUUCCCAGGGCUCACUAAGCAUGGCACUGAUGUAUAGCUUCACAAAGGAGUCACUACUGCCCCGACUCAACAUGGAGACCCAGAGCAUCCAAGCUCAGCUUCUUUCCACGCAGAGUGUCUGGCAGCCCCCUGAAGGAAUGAGUUGCCCAUCACCAGAGAUAUAAUGAAAAUAAGAAUUCUGAGACAAGAUCUUAGAUUCUGGGCUCUCAACCUAAUGACUAGUAUUUUUAUAAGAAGAGAAGGCCACAUGAGGAUAGAGGCAGAGACUGGGGUGAUGCGGCCGCAAGCCAAGGGACACCUGGAGGUACUGGAAGCCGGAGGAGGCAAAGAACCAUCCACUCCGAGAACCUCCAGAGGGAGCAGGGCCCCGCCGACACCUGGAUCUUGGGCUUCCGGCCUCCAGAAUAUCGAGGAAGUAAACUGUUGCUUGAAGCCAUCGAGCUUGUGGGCGUUCAGGAGAGCAGGUUCAGGGGCCUGCCAGAGCUCUGCUGUGCAACCUGGGGCCCAGCACUCGCCCUCUCUGUGCCUCAGUCUCCUCAAGUAAGAAACUUGCUCACGGUGUCCUCACUCCCUCCUCCGUGUGAACAACAAAGUGGUUGAAAAGAAUAAAAGGACGAAAUCCCUCUGUGGGUCAGAACACCUCAUUCCGAGGACCUUCCUUCAUUCUCUAAGUCAUCUUGUCUUUAAAAAAAAAAAAAAAAAGUAU